rnacentral:rRNA from 1 species
GAGCACGUAGGUGGGUUUGUAAGUCGGUUGUGAAAGCCUUCCGCUUAACGGAAGAACGGCAUCUGAUACUGCAUAGCUUGAGUGCGGAAGGGGAGAGUGGAACUUCUGGUGGAGCGGUGAAAUGCGUAGAUAUCAGAAGGAACACCGGCGGCGAAAGCGACUCUCUGGCCCGUAACUGACGCUGAGUGUGCGAAAGCUAGGGGAGUAAACGGGAUUAGAUACCCCGGUAGUCCUAGCUGUAAACGAUGGGCACUAAGUAGAGGGGUUUU